GACGAACGCUGGCGGCGUGCCUAAUACAUGCAAGUAGAACGCAGUUGCGAACGGGUGAGUAACGCGUAGGUAACUGCCUCAUAGCGGGGGAUAACUAUUGGAAACGAUAGCUAAUACCGCAUACUGUGAGAUGGACCUGCGUUGUAUUAGCUAGUUGGUGAGGUAAAGGCUCACCAAGGCGACGAUACAUAGCCGACCUGAGAGGGUGAUCGGGCACACCGGGACCUGGACACGGGCCCAGAGCCUACGGGAGGCCGCAAGAGGGGAACUUCGGAAAUUGACGGAAGUCUGGCCGAGGCACGGCGCGGGAGAGAAGAAGGUUUUCGGGGCUGAAAGCUCUUUUGUGAGAGAAGCGUUAACUAACCAGAAAGGGACGGCUAACUACGUGCCAGCAGCCGCGGUAAUUC
rnacentral:rRNA from 1 species